AUGAAUUGANGGGGGCCCGCACAANNGGNNNNNCAUGUGGUUUAAUUNGAUGCAACNNGAAGAACCUUNCCUGGUCUUGACAUCCACAGANCUUGGCAGAGAUGCCUUGGUGCCUUCGGGAACUGUGAGACAGGUGCUGCAUGGCUGUNGUCAGCUCGUGUUGUGAAAUGUUGGGUUAAGUCCCGCAACGAGCGCAACCCUUAUCCUUUGUUGCCAGCGGUCCGGCCGGGAACUCAAAGGAGACUGCCAGUGAUAAACUGGAGGAAGGUGGGGAUGACGUCAAGUCAUCAUGGCCCUUACGACCAGGGCUACACACGUGCUACAAUGGCAUAUACAAAGAGAAGCGACCUCGCGAGAGCAAGCGGACCUCAUAAAGUAUGUCGUAGUCCGGAUUGGAGUCUGCAACUCGACUCCAUGAAGUCGGAAUCGCUAGUAAUCGUGGAUCAGAAUGCCACGGUGAAUACGUUCCCGGGCCUUGUACACACCGCCCGUCACACCAUGGGAGUGGGUUGCAAAAGAAGUAGGUAGCUUAACCUUCGGGAGGGCGCUUACCACUUUGUGAUUCAUG
rnacentral:rRNA from 1 species